rnacentral:rRNA from 1 species
GUCCAGACUCCACGGGAGGCAGCAGUGGGGAAUAUUGGGCAAUGGGCGCAAGCCUGACCCAGCAAUGCCGCGUGAAGGAAGAAGGCUUUCGGGUUGUAAACUUCUUUGACAGGGGAAGAGCAGAAGACGGUACCCUGAAAACAAGCCACGGCUAACUACGUGCCAGCAGCCGCGGGAAUACGUAGGGGGCAAGCGUUAUCCGGAUUUACUGGGUGUAAAGGGGGCGCAGACGGCGAUGCAAGCCAGGAGUGAACGCCCGGGGCCCAACCCCGGGACUGCCCUUGGAACUGCAUGGCUGGAGUGCGGGAGGGGCAGGCGGAAUUCCUGGUGUAGCGGUGAAAUGCGUAGAUAUCAGGAGGAACACCGGCGGCGAAGGCGGCCUGCUGGACCGCGACUGACGUUGAGGCUCGAAAGCGUGGGGAGCGAACAGGAUUAGAUACCCGAGUACG